GAUGAACGCUAGCGGCAGGCUUAACACAUGCAAGUCGAGGGGCAUAGUAGCAAUACUAGAGACCGGCGCACGGGUGCGUAACGCGUAUGCAAUCUACCUUUCACAGAGGGAUAGCCCAGAGAAAUUUGGAUUAAUACCUCAUAGUAUAGUAUCUUGGCAUCAAGGAACUAUUAAAGUCACAACGGUGAAAGAUGAGCAUGCGUCCCAUUAGUUAGUUGGUAAGGUAACGGCUUACCAAGACUACGAUGGGUAGGGGUCCUGAGAGGGAGAUCCCCCAACCUGGGACUGAGAAACGGACCAGACUCCUACGGGAGGCAGCAGUGAGGAAUAUUGGACAAUGGGCGCAAGCCUGAUCCAGCCAUGCCGCGUGCAGGAGGACGGUCCUAUGGAUUGUAAACUGCUUUUGUACAGGAAGAAACACCCCGACGUGUCGGGACUUGACGGUACUGUAAGAAUAAGGAUCGGCUAACUCCGUGCCAGCCGCCGCCGUAA
rnacentral:rRNA from 1 species